AAACUGCAUUAUAUUCAUGAUGAUGUUUUUUCUGCAAAAGUGUUUCUUGACACUUGUUUGUUUUUUGUGAGAUCUGACGGCGAAAUUGCCUUUAAAUUUAUUGGUUGUCUCCAUUUCGGUCACUUCAAUAAAUUAAACUGCAGAUAAGUGAACUUCAUCCCAAAAAUUUCAAAAUGGUGUUCUUGCAAGUGGGGGUGUAAUGUUUCAAAGACGAACUUAACUUACAGCUUCUCUUCAAUAUGAAGAACUAUGCUCAUCUGGCUUGCCUGAAUCUGGAUCAAGUCGUAUGUUCCAAGCUCUGAAUAAAGCUGGUUGGUAAAUACUGAAAUGCCACGCUUGAAUGAUUUCAUAUCGGAAAAUUAUUUUACGUGAUAAAAUCAAUAGGUGAACUGAAUUAAAAAUUUGCAAUCUGAGACUUGUGUUUAGAAAUGUUCAUUCUUUUGCUGUAUACUUAGACUGAAAAUUAAUUUCAAAUUAACCGGUAGUAAAUAGUUCUGUAUCAUUCUAUAAGGGAACUUCAAUGUAGCAACGCAUUUGAAUUCUCCAUAAAACUUCUAAGCAUUAAAGUUAAAAUUUUCAGUAUACUUUGAAUUUUCAAAUAGUUCAAAUGAAACGGACGUACACGGAGAACUACACUUAUCAAGUCACUUAAAGGUAAAUGUUGAUGUUAAAUGCAGGAGCCGGAAUUCGAUUACGGUUCAAAGCCUAAAUUAACAGCUGCAUAUCGAUGCAAAUCUUUUAGUAAUUGUAUUCUAAAUGAAUCGGGCAUUGAGUACUGCUUAAUAUUUACUUCAGCGAUCAUAUUGCCCGAAAUUCAGAUCACUAAUUGAAAUUCUUGGAACUUUCUCGGAACUUUCUCAUUGUGCUAUUUUGAUCAAAUGGCCAAGUUAAUUGGCCGAUUUUGUUAAUGAACAAUCAUAAGUUCACCGAUUACGAUUAUCAUAUUCCAAAUGAAAGGCUGCCGUGCAAAUAAUUCAAGCCAAGUUUCGAACUUCAUAUCGAACAAAUAUCUCAAAUUAUUUCAGUAAUAGCCGAUUCUUCCUAAAUUUCGAUUUUCAAGCCAGAAUUACCUUAUUCUUUCCAAUCAAGACUCGAAAAUGUAAAGGCCAUGUCAAAUUAUGACUUUUACAAUCUCUGCCAAAGAAUCCCCUUAAAGUUUUUAUUU